UACGGAGGGUGCAAGCGUUAUCCGGAUUCACUGGGUUUAAAGGGUGCGUAGGAGGGCAGGUAAGUCAGUGGUGAAAUCCCCGAGCUUAACUUGGGAACUGCCGUUGAUACUAUCUGUCUUGAAUACCGUGGAGGUGAGCGGAAUAUGUCAUGUAGCGGUGAAAUGCUUAGAUAUGACAUAGAACACCAAUUGCGAAGGCAGCUCGCUACACGAAUAUUGACUCUGAGGCACGAAAGCGUGGGGAGUCAAACAGG
rnacentral:rRNA from 1 species